rnacentral:rRNA from 1 species
CAACUCGCCUGCACGAAGUUGGAAUUGCUAGUAAUCGUGGAUCAGCAUGCCACGGUGAAUACGUUCCCGGGUCUUGUACACACCGCCCGUCACACCAUGGGAGCCGGUAAUACCCGAAGUCAGUAGUCUAACCGCAAGGAGGACGCUGCCGAAGGUAGGAUUGGCGACUGGGGUGAAGUCGUAACAAGGUAAC